GCCUAACACAUGCAAGUCGAACGAGGUAGCAAUACUAGUGGCGGACGGGUGAGGAAUACGUAGGGAUCUGCCUUAAGUGGAUAACCCGGAACCCGGAUUAAUACCGCAUGAUCUCGCAAGAGCAAAGAGGGGGACCGCAAGGCCUCUCGCUUUUAGAGGAACCUACGUCGGAUUAGCUAGUUGGUGAGGUAAUGGCUCACCAAGGCGACGAUCCGUAACUGGUCUGAGAGGAUGAUCAGUCACACCGGAACUGAGACACGGUCCGGACUCCUACGAGGCAGCAGUGGGGAAUAUUGGACAAUGCGAAAGCCUGAUCCAGCAAUACCGCGUGUGUGAAGAAGGCCUUCGGGUUGUAAAGCACUUUAAGUUGAAGAAAGCUUCACCUAUACGUGGAGCCUUGACGGUACCGACAGAAUAAGCACCGGCUAACUCUGUGCCAGCAGCCGCGGUAAUACAGAGGGUGCUAGCGUUAAUCGGAUUUACUGGGCGUAGCGUGCUAG
rnacentral:rRNA from 1 species